rfam:Gossypium arboreum cultivar AKA8401 contig_42223_1, whole genome shotgun sequence.
AGUUAAAAAUUUUAUCUAUUUGUGUCGUUAAAAACUAGCGUGGUUGACUGAAUAACCAAACAGUGGCAUGUGGCAUGCCAUGUAUAUCUCAUGUGGACGUACAAAGACUGUUUUUUAACAGUAGAAAUAGAUAAAAAUUUUAAUA